rnacentral:rRNA from 1 species
GAUGAACGCUAGCUACAGGCUUAACACAUGCAAGUCGAGGGGUAACGAGAGGGAAGCUUGCUUUCCUUGUCGACGACCGGCGCACGGGUGAGUAACGCGUAUCCAACCUGCCCCCAACUAGGGAAUAACCUUGCGAAAGUAAGACUAAUACCCUAUAAUUUCCUCAGAUGCCAUCUGACGAGGAAUAAAGAUUUAUCGGUUGUGGAUGGGGAUGCGUCUGAUUAGCGUGUUGGCGGGGUAACGGCCCACCAAGGCAACGAUCAGUAGGGGUGCUGAGAGGCAGGGCCCCCACAUUGGAACUGAGACACGGUCCAAACUCCUACGGGAGGAAGCAGUGAGGAAUAUUGGUCAAUGGGCGGAAGCCUGAACCAGCCAAGUAGCGUGCAGGAUGGCGGCCCUAUGUGUUGUAAACUGCUUUUAUACAGGAAUAAAGUUAGCCACGUGUGGUUAUUUGUAGGUACUGUAUGAAUAAGGACCGGCUAAUUCCGUGCCAGCCGCCGCAGUAA